rnacentral:pre_miRNA from 17 species
AGCACUGCCCCCGGUGAGUGAGGGCGGGACUGGCCUCCUACCUCCAGCUGCUGUCCUCUGACCCUGUGCCUGCCCUUAGGAGCU